GCUGGGCAUGGUGGCCCAUGCCUGUAAUCCCAGCUACUCAGGAGGCUGAGGCAGGAGAAUCGCUUGCGUUCAGGAGGCAGAGGUUGCAGUGAGCUGAGAUUGCGCCACUGCACUCCAGCCUGGGUGACAAAGCGAGACUCCAUCUCAA
rfam:Pan troglodytes isolate Yerkes chimp pedigree #C0471 (Clint) chromosome 1, whole genome shotgun sequence.